rnacentral:misc_RNA from 1 species
AAGACAUGACUCGGGAAAAAUUUUGAAUUUCUUCAAAAUCCAACACAAUUGUUUUCAGUUUUCAUUUUCAUUUUGCAAUAGUAAUUGCACGGUUUUGUUUUUCCAUCUCUCGCCAUUUCUACUCUCAACAUCAAAUUCUCAGCAAAAUUUCCCAAGUUUCUAUUGCAUUUCAUUUUGUGCGCCUAAUUUGGCCUGCCUUUUGCUUGAAAAAUGUGCCUUUCUUUUAAUCCAUCAAAACCUAGCCAUGGUGACAACGAAAAUGCCUAGUCACCACACUAGACCAGACAAAUUUUGUUCUGCCAUGAGGAAAAGCACACAAUCACCCAUAACUUAGUCAUCUAGACCGCAAAGAAGAAAGAUAGUUGAACCUCUAGUGGAGAAACCCCCACUGCAGCAAGUAGAGCAAGUUCAAGAUGUUUCUGUGUCAGUUUAGCAGCAGGGUUCAGUGCAAAGUAGUCAAUCCUGUGCUUAGCUGUAGUCCCAGGAAAAUAUUGAGGCACCUUAUGGUUUCAGUUGGGGUUUUAGAAAUGAGGACCAUAAAAAUUUGUUUUUUUUUUUCCCUUUCUCGUAGGGAGAUUGUUGCAACUAGAUAUUUAGGUGUUCCUAUCCUAGCUGAUUUGGGAUUAGCUGAUGAAGCAAAUGAAUAUGUGAAUGGUAUUGGGUGGACUAAAUUUGUAGGGAUGAAACAACCUAUUUUUAUUCAGUUGACGCUAGAGUUCAUUAGUUCUUUGCAAGUCAAUUUAAAACUGAGAACAGAAAUUUCAGAGGGGUGGUUAGUUUCAGGUGUAUGAGGGUGAAUAGGAUAAUGGACAUUGAUGUUUUUAAUGACAUUUUUGGCUUUGAUAGUGGUGGGUAUCAGGAAGUAGAGGUAAAUAGGGCAAAAUAACCCACAGUUUUAGAAAGAGAUUUCUAAUGAUCCAGCCCCUUACAACCCUAGUAAAUCUAAGGCUACAAGGAUUCACAACAUAGCCUUUAGAUAUAUGCAUAGAUUUAUAGGGCACACCAUUAUGGGGAAGGGUUUGAGCUUAGGUGUGGUUAAUGCAAGAAAGCUACUCAUGCUCUGGUGCAUGCUAAGGGGACAUAGAUUGAGUAUUGGCUUCUUUUUCCUUAACCAUGUUAUGAGGGUGCAACAUCAGCGUUCUGGUGACAUAGUUUUGGGAGGGUUGGUCACAAUGAUUGCUUUACAUUUUAACUUUGAUGCUUCCUUGCACACUUUUGAGCCCCUCAUUAUCCCACCAGACCUGGAUCAUGAAUUUUUGGUUGGGUUGAAUUGUUCAUAGAAAUAGGUAGCAGAAUAUGAAUGUUAAUAUUGGUGAGGAAAUUGGGGGAGAUGAGAGAGCUGAGGCAAUUGAUGAAACAUGAAAUGUUAGUGUUGGAGUCAAAGUUGAUAGGAAUCAGGGUACUGGUGUGAAUGUUGAUGUGGUUACAGAACCUAUUGAAGUUGGGCAAGAUGCUGCAGGACCUAGUUAGAUACUAGGGUAGGAAGGGCAGCAACAUAGGGAUUCAGAUGCUAUAAUUUUAGCUUUUUUAGCAAAUCUGCAAACAUAAUAGUGAGACUUGAGGAAAGAGUCAAGUGAUAGAUGAAAAUUUGCAUAGAAUUGGAAAAUUUGUGCAAAAUCACUUUAAAUCACUUCAUGAGAAGUUUGAUAAUCUUGAGACUGCUUUAAAGUCAUCAUCUGAUGAAAAGCAACCCACAGCAAAUGCAGCAGAGUAAGAAAAUGAACCAGUUCUAGCAGAGGGUAGCCAACCAGCAGUAGACCCAUCAAAUGCAGCAGAGCAAACAGAUCUAGCAGAGGAUAUACAGACAAAAAAGCCUACAGCAUAUUAGGAUUUUGAUUGAUAGUUUAAGGCUAUAUGGUUUUAACACUAGUGUUAUACAUAGUAAACUUAGCUGUUAACGUUUUAAUGUCUCAGUGUUUUAGUAUUGUGUUUAUGAAUUUGUAUUUGUUUCUAACAGUUUUAAAGUUUGUUAAACUAAUGGUUGUAUUAAGAAAUAGCUCGUGGAUAUUUGUUUUAUGCAGUUUGGAAUAUAUGGUUGUACUGUCAAUUAUUCAAAUUUUUAUUGUGCCUAUUAGUUUUAAUCAAUUUCUAAGUUUCCAAAUUGUAUAUUAUUACUGUUCAUUUUUCAUUUCCAAGUUAUAUUAGUACACAAAUAGUGUAAUUAUCAUUUACAAUUGCA